rnacentral:tRNA from 1 species
GCCCGUCUAGCUCAGUUGCUAAAGCGCAAGGCUCUUAACCUUGUGGUCGUGGGUUCGAGCCCCACGAUGGGUG